rnacentral:rRNA from 1 species
GACGAACGCUGGCGGCGUGCUUAACACAUGCAAGUCGAACGGAAAGGCCCUGAUUUUGUGGGGUGCUCGAGUGGCGAACGGGUGAGUAACACGUGAGUAACCUGCCCUUGACUUUGGGAUAACUUCAGGAAACUGGGGCUAAUACCGGAUAGGAGCUCCUGCUGCAUGGUGGGCGUUGGAAAGUUUCGGCUGUUGGGGAUGGACUCGCGGCUUAUCAGCUUGUUGGUGGGGUAGUGGCUUACCAAGUCUUUGACGGGUAGCCGGCCUGAGAGGGUGGCCGGCCACAUUGGGACUGCGGGACGGACCAGUCUCCUACGGGAGGCAACAGUGGGGAGUAUUGCACAAUGGGCGGAAGCCUGAUGCAGCAGCGCCGCGUGCGGGAUGACGGCCUUCGGGUUGUAAACCGCUUUCGCCUGUGACGAAGCGGGAGUGACGGUAAUGGGUAAAGAAGCACCGGCUAACUACGUG